rnacentral:tRNA from 1 species
GGCCUCGUAACUCAGUUGGCUAGAGCGUUGGAUGUACUAAAACCUUUUCCAUGUUUGCAUAGGUUCGAAUCCCACCGAGGCCA